AGAGCUGCCUUCCUUUUCUGUUUCAUCUACUUGCCUCUUUCAGUGCCUGGGACUCCCGACCCUCCAGCCCACUCACAGGAAGACGCCAAAUCAUUUUUACAAAUGAUUUUAAAUAAACAGCGUUCGGCUGCAGGCCCUGCUUUCGAUAGCCACAGUGCCUGUUCCCUGGGAAAUCCUCUCUCUCCUCUGAAUGCAGAAAUGGUAGCUGUCAGCAUGGACACGUGCACGCAUGCACACAUGCACAUUCUCCUUUUGGAUUCAUGUCACUCGUUACAUUUUGUGGACUAUAGGCUUUCAGUAUGCUACAUGCUUUCAUAUUAUUUAACCAUCCUCUUAUAAGUGUUAUGCAUGGAAAACAGAUUAAUAAAGAAAAAUUGUUAACA
rnacentral:lncRNA from 1 species